CCAGGAUUUUAUUCCAGGCAUUUGUGUGCCUGAAAUAAUUUUUUUACCACUUAUAAGUCUCUCACAGGCGUUUGAGUUCCUUGAAAAACCUGGAAUAACGAUUUUAAAACUCUUUUGGUCAUUUUGAUGUAAUCUGAUAAGAGUUUUAGAAUUUUCUUUUAAUUCUAAAUAUUCUAAAGUAAGUCCAGGAUUUUAUUCCAGGCAUUUGUGUGUCUGGAAUAAUUCUUUUACUACUUAUAAGUCUCUCACAGGCGUUUGAGUUCCUUGAAAAAC